rnacentral:lncRNA from 1 species
UAUCUUAACAUAAUAUAAGUAUAAAGAUAGGUAGAAAUACUUAGCGAGAUAAAUGGGGGUGCUCUCCCCCAAGCUGAAUUUUGACGUAAUUUCUCUUGAUGUAGCUAGCAGGUGGCAGAGGUGUAUUUGAAAGUCAGCAGCAUUCUGACAGCGAUUAGAAUGUCCUCCGUCUGCUAGUCUUUUUUGAUCCUUGAAUCCUGUGGAGCUCAAAUAGACAACAAAGCUUUGUGGAACUAGUUAAGUGUUAGCAUAAAAUCUCUUUGCCUUUAUCAUAUUGAGCUUCCUCAAUAAAUGUUAUUUAUUUAGCAGGAUCAUGCACUUAUUAUUUUUAUAUUUUUAUUAUAACAUGAAAACUUAUUUAUUUUAUUUUUAUGCCACCACAGUGAAUGUACUUUUGGGUUUUAUGCCAUGAGCAUACUCACAUGGGGCUUACUAUUAAUUUAACAUUUUUAUUUUCUUUUCAAGAUAGCAUGAAUCUGAUUAACUAAGCAAACUAUUGAAUGGAAAAGGAUAACUACCAAGUUUACCUCUUGGCAAGGCGUUCGGUGUUUUUAAGUCCUCCGAACGGGAUUCUCCGUUUUCUCAGUCGUCCUGGGAUUCGCUAGGUGGCGUAGUCGGUGGUUCUGGUGGCGCCUCUCUUCGUGAAUAACUAUCUUCUCUUUCCACAUCUGACUCGUUGCUACGGUCUCCUCAGGACAGUUAUGUUUAAGUUGUAUGUCUUCCAACCUUGUUACUUCUCCUUCGCAGUCUACCCAUUCAUCCUUGAUGAUUUGCCUCCUCUGGUUUCGGUUGCGUCGCCUUCUUCUUGUCUUGACCUGCUUAGAGUCUUCAACUAAAUAGUUAGGGUCAGUAAAAUAGCGGCGUACCUUCUCAGAGGGGAAGUGCAUGUGGACUUCUCCGGUUCCAAUAUAGAUGAUGGCUUUGAUAGUGUUUGAGGAACGGUCGUCCAAGGAUGGUAGGUAGAUCAUACUUGUCUUCUCCCAUGUCAAUGACCUGAAAAUUAUCUGGAGCUGAAUGUAUGUUGGUUGUAGGGGCAUGGUUCCAUGCAGGAGCUGAUAAGUGACUGCGGCUAUUAUGUUAUCGUCAGAUCCAGUGUCGUAGAGUGUCUUCUGAAAAGAGUAUCUAUUGAUUGUGCAUUCGAUGCUUGGAACACCAGGGUCAUCCUUCUUGAUCAGGAAUGGCGACUUGAGUCGACGAUUUUGACCUCCUCCGACAAGGAUCCAAUGUUUUAAGUAUUCUGGUCAAGACUUCUCACUGUCUUCAUCCUUUAGGUGCAUCAUUUGAUUAGGUGUGGACCUUGACGUCUGCACCUCUUGAUAUGGAGUCACCCAUGUUCUUCGUUUGUCCAGUAAUUCGAAAUGCGGUGUUGGAAAUAUCCUGCUCAGUGUGUUUGUGCUCAUAGAUCUAGGUCCUUCACUAGGUGGAGUCUGGGAGUUGUAAAACUCCUCCAUGUUUUGUUUGAAGUGUACCUAUUCAUAGAGACAAGGCAGAGAUCAAGUGCAUGGGCCCUGUUGGUGGAAAACACCAACAGAACCAAAAGUGUAUUUAUUCUUCUCUAACCUUAAGCAUAGUGAGCAAGACAAAGUUGAUGGAUCAUGAGUGUAGCAUUUAAAACAUUUGUUAGAUCAGAUGGCUCAACCUAAUGGAAAGAUAAUCUAUCUAUAUUUAUGUUUUGUUUAUAUCUUCCAAAGAUUGAAUGUUCGACAUAUUAACUUAUAUGAUUAGGAGUGUGGGAUCACGAAGGUAGUACUA